rnacentral:rRNA from 1 species
GAUCAACGCUGGCGGCGUGCCUAAUGCAUGCAAGUCGCACGGGGUGCUCUUCGGAGCGCUCACGUGGCGGACGGGUGAGGAACACGUGGGUAAUCUACCUCGAGGAGGGGGAUAGCUUCCGGAAACGGGAGGUAAUUCCGCAUGAGCUCGCAUCCCGCGUCGGGGUGUGAGGAAAGGGUAGCAAGCCCGCCUUGAGAGGAGCCUGCGGCCGAUUAGCUAGUUGGUGGGGAACGGCCUACCAAGGCGGUGAUCGGUAGCUGGUCUGAGAGGAUGGCCAGCCAC